GUUAGAACCUGUUGAACAAGACAGCCGGCCUCCUGAACAGCUGGAGGGCAUCAGAGCUGGGGCCCCACACCGGCCGGACUUUGACUUCAGAGCAAAGUUUCCCAGUGCUGGGGCCCCACCCCUGCCCAUUCCAGCUCUUGGGCCUGAGCGAGUCCCAGGCAUCUGUAUUUGUCACAAGCUACAGGAAUGAUUCAAAUACUGGCCAGACCAGUUAACCCCUGCCCUGUGUGGCCCUGAGUAAAGCGGACUCCUCCCUUUCCUCCCAGACAUGGAGUGAAUUCACUUUAAGGAGGCUGGAGUGUAGUGGUUGUGAGCUCAGAUCCUGGCUCUGCCAUUUAACAGCUAUGUGGCCUUGAGCAGGUGACUUACCCUCUCUGUGCCUUGGCUUCCUCGUUUGAAAAAUAAGGGUAAUUAUUAUUUUCCUGCCCUGCAGUGAGAACGGCUUCUCAUUGAUUUCAUAGGAGAGCUCUAGUUCAAAUCUUAGAUCUGCCUCUAUCAAUUAGCCAAGUUUUGUUUGCGUUAGUCCCUCUGAGCUGGGCUGCAGUUUGAUCGCUUGUGCACUGUGCUGGGCACACACAAGUCCAGUCUGUGCUCACUGUGGUUCACUCCCCUUUGCAUGUGGAUGAAACCCAGCCCCUCCUCUGCAGAUAAGGACAGGUGAGACCAGGAGCCCCACCGUCUGCACAGUGACAUCGGACCAGGAGGCCUCUGUCAGUCACUAGGUACAAAGUACAUUAAAUUCUUGGUGAAGCCACAGCCCAUGGACCCCUUGGGAAGACGGCCUGGCCUUCUGCCUCCUCCCCACGGAAAGGACUGCUCGGACCCUCACAGCCAGGCGGGCUGGACCAUGCUCCAGGGUCCAGUCCAGAGGAGACCUCAGUAGGGGACAGAGGAGGGAGGUGGUCUGCCCUGGAAAGUCUCUGUAGUGUAAACUGAUGGGUUCUGCCUGUUGGGAAGCUUUUCAAGCAGCCCACCCAGCUCCAUGCCACGGCCUUUCUAGCUGCUAAACAAGUUUCCUGAGCACCCACGAGGCCGAGCUCUAGAGAGAGGGCCUUCAGGGCAUGCACUCUGGCCCCAGAUGGAAUCUGAAUCCCAGCUCUGCAGUUUAUUAGCCUGUGUCAACCUAAAAGCAAAUUUAUCUGUUAUUUUAUCCUCAAAAACGAGUUUAUUAGGAAAUAGCCAAAAGAACUGCAAUUCGGGAUGAGCUUGCUAUGGCAAACUGUGGGCAAACCCAGAGAACAAAGGAGCGAGCUGCUUUUAUAGAGAAGGGGGUGGGGCGGACAGAGAGAGGCUGUUCUAGAGGAAAUUCCAUUGGGGGAGAGUAAGAGAUCAAGGGAGCAACGGCUUCUCAUUGGCUGAGCUGUGCAUUUCUCAUUGGCUGAGCUGCAGUGUUUCUCAUUGGCUAAGCUACAGCGUUUCUCAUUGGCUGAGCUGCAACAUUUCUCAUUGGCUGAGCUGUGGCAUUUCUCAUUGGCUGAGCUGCGGCAUUUCUCAUUGGCUGAGCUGCAGUGUUUCUCAUUGGCUGAGCUGUGGUGUUUCACAUUGGCUGAGCUGAGGCACUUCUCAUUGGCUGAACUGCAGCACUUCUCAUUGGCUGAGCUGCAGUGUUUCUCAUUGGCUGAGCUGCAUCACUUCUCAUUGGCUGAGCUGCAGUGUUUCUCAUUGGCUGGGCUGCAGUGUUUCUCAUUGGCUGGGCUGCAGUGUUUCUCAUUGGCUGGGCUGUUGCCAGGUGGGGAGAGAAAUCUUCCUUCCCUACUGAAGUAGUCCUACUUCCUUCCAAGAUGCAAGUGUCUGACUUUUCCUGUUUGGUGCAAUUGACAAUGCGUGACGGAUGUGAGAGCCCCUGCAGGCCUUCCCAAUUCCAGUCUAGUUAAGGUUUCUUUAUUAAUUUCCACACCUGUGACCUUGGGCAAGCCCCGCUAUCCAUCUCCACCUAUGAAAUGGGGGUGAUGAUAAAAGUGCUUACCACCUGGGGUUGUUUAGAGGAUCCGCUGGUAUAUGGAAAGUUCUUACAACAGAUCCCGGCGCGCAGUAGGAGCUGUAAGAGUCAGCAGCUGACGUGUGGCACACACGUCUGGGGAUUGGGGACACGUCAAGGGGCAAAAUAAUCAGAAAUUUACCCUCACUGAGCUUGUAUUCUAGUGGGGAGACAGAUAAACAAAAUAAAUUGGUAGUUUAUAUUCUGUAACUGGUGUGUGAGUUCUAUGAAGAAAAAUAAGGCAGGGAGAGCUGGGAUGAGUGUGUCAGCAAGCCCCCGCUGUGAAGUUCUGUGAAGAUGUUGGGGGAAGAGGGCUGCAGGCAGAGGAGACAGCCUGUGCAAAGGUCCUGAGGUGAGAGAGUGCCUGGGGCCUUGGAGGACCGGUGAGGCGGGCAGCAUGGCCAUUGCUGAGUAAAUGUGGGAGAAAGUGGUGAGAGAGGGCAUGGCGAAUCUUAGGCCCUUGAAAUGACCUUGGCUUUUAUUCUGAGUGACCUGAGAAGCCCUUGGAAAGUUCUGAGCAGAGCAGUGACAUGACCUGACUCAUGUUUGUUUCUUUUUUAAAGUAUGCUUUCUUUGGUGAGGAAGAUUGGCCCUGAGCUAACAUCUGUUGCCAAUCUUCCUCUUUUUUUCCUUUUUUUUCUCCCCAAAGGCCCAGUACAUAGUUGUUUAUCCUAGUUGUAGGUGAUUCUAGCUCUUCUAUGUGGGACGCCACCACAGCAUGGCCUGAUGGGCAGUGCCAUGUCUGCACCCAGGAUCCAAACUGGGCAGCCGAAGCGGAGCACGCGAACUUAACCACUCAGCCAUGGGGGUCGGCCCCGCCCCGACUCAUGUUUUAACAGGACAAGUCUGGUUGUUGUGCUAAGAACAGGCUGGGGCGGUGAGGAAGAGGCAGGAGACCAGUACUUUUGCAAUAAUACCCCAGCUGAGAGGGUGGUGACUGGGACUGCAGGCCGUGGGCGGGGGCCGGAUCCUGGAUGCAUUCUGCAGGGACAGCCUGCAGGACUGCCCCCGCAUCGGAGACGGGGUGAGAGAGAAGGGAGGCAGGGCUGCUUCCGUGUUUGGGCCUGAGCAACUGCAAGUACGGACUUGCCAUCCCCUGCGAGCACAUUCCGAGGGAGACGCGAGGAGUUGCUGGCGUGUGAAGCUGGAGAUGUCUUUCAGACACCGAGUAAGAGGCGGAGGAGGCAUCUGGGCACACGGACGGGGUUCCGCCCAGAGAGGCGUUGGGGAUGAGCCUGUGGAAUUACUGGUGUCUGUAGGGGAUUGAGGGUCCCGAGACAGGU
ensembl:lncRNA